rnacentral:rRNA from 1 species
UGCGUAGGGUGCAAGCGUUGUCCGGAAUUAUUGGGCGUAAAGAGCUCGUAGGCGGUUUGUCGCGUCGAAUGUGAAAUCCCGGGGCUCAACCCCGGGUCUGCAUUCGAUACGGGCAGACUAGAGUUCGGUAGGGGAGUCUGGAAUUCCUGGUGUAGCGGUGAAAUGCGCAGAUAUCAGGAGGAACACCGGUGGCGAAGGCGGGACUCUGGGCCGAUACUGACGCUGAGGAGCGAAAGCGUGGGGAGCGAACAGG